rnacentral:misc_RNA from 1 species
GCCAGGUGUAGAACGACGAUUUCUUAGCCAAUUUCGACGCAAUCAAAACUCGUCUCCUCUUAUUGAAUGAAUUUUCAGGUUUCUCAAUAUCUUUAACUGAUUUCGCCUCUGCUAGAUUCACAAACGAUUUCGAUUUUCCAGAAAAAUGACUCGAUAACCCUCUCUUGAUCGGAAGAGACUCUUCCAACGAUCCAAGAGAAACGAAUCCUGCAUUUGAUUUACUCUGAACUUCCUCACGAUCUCCACCAGUGGAUGAAACGCUCUCGUCAUCGCUAUCAUCAGGAACUCCGAUCGACGAGGAGGAAUCAGAACGGUAAUCGAUUUCAUCCUCCGGAGCUUUACCGGAGGCGAAAGUUCUGAAAUCGGAUUUGAAAGAGUUCCAAGGCGAAUCAACGUGAUGCUCCGGCGGCGGCGGGGGAGGAGGAGGAGAAGCGGCGGUCCGAUCUCUGACGAAAGAGGAAGAAGAGGCGACCUGAAUGGUGAAAGAGGGAGGAGGGAAGAGAACCUCCAUGAUCGCGAAGAGUGAGAAUCGGACGGCGGAGGAAGUGGCGGAGAGGGGUUCUUCUAGGGGUCGCCGGUUGAA